rnacentral:rRNA from 1 species
GUGUCAGCCGCCGCGGUAAUACGUAGGGUGCAAGCGUUAAUCGGAAUUACUGGGCGUAAAGCGUGCGCAGGCGGUUUUGUAAGUUUGUCGUGAAAGCCCCGGGCUCAACCUGGGAAUUGCGAUGAAGACUGCAAGGCUUGAAUCUGGCAGAGGGGGGUAGAAUUCCACGUGUAGCAGUGAAAUGCGUAGAGAUGUGGAGGAACACCGAUGGCGAAGGCAGCCCCCUGGGUCAAGAUUGACGCUCAUGCACGAAAGCGUGGGGAGCAAACAGGAUUAGAUACCCUGGUAGUCC